CAGAGAUCUACCUACCUCUGCUUCUAGAGUUCUGGGAUUAAAGCCCUGUACCACUAAGCAAGGCAGAAAGUAGUGUCUGAAUGAGAAGGAAAAACACUAUCAGAGAGACAUCUACAUCACAUGGAGGCAAGAUAUUAUUCUCUGUGGCUCAUACAUGAAGUGAAACACUACUGUGUCUAUGAGAAGUUCACAAAGAACACAGUACUGUGAUCUCUGACACUAAUGGGACUUAACCUCAAACAAUGAUAUAAGGCUGGUGAGAAGGCUCAGCAGACACACAUGGAUAUUUUCUGGGACUUGAUAUAAGUAGACAGAUAUGAAGCAGGAAGCAACUGCAUUGAUAGAAGGAAGCUGGCAUACCAACUGUGAUUGACAGGACUGCAAAAGCACGUGAGAGAACUACAGAGACUCCUAAGGCAGUAUGGGCAGGAUCCUGAGAACACUCCAGGAAUAGGAGUCUACAGUGUGGAGAGCCACCCCUGGCUGUCCAGUGCUUUACUAGAACCCAGAAAAGAUACAUAGUGUGGAGCAAGAACCAUGAUGUCAGACUGUGAACUAUACUUUAAGGGAUGCACCUUCCUGUCCUUAUUAAGAAAUAAAGCAACAAAGGAAGUUAACCCAUCAGCUCUGAGCCCAAACCGUGUAAACGCUUGGAAAGCAACAGUAGCAUUGAUGCGCUUUGCGAAGUCGCAGCGUGGAUGGGGGUUUCCACACCAUCUAUUUGCU